ensembl:lncRNA
UCUGGAUGCUGAGUCUGGGUCUUUAGAGAGGUGGAGUCUGGAUGCUGAGAACUGGGUCUUUAGUGAGGUGGAGUCUGGAUGCUGAGUCUGGGUCUUUUUGUAACUCCUUGAGUAGAUGUUGUUCAGUUCGCCUUGUUGAGGCUGGAGUUAGAGAGGUGGAGUCUGGAUGCUGAGUCUGGGUCUUUAGUGAGGUGGAGUCUGGAUGCUGAGUCUGGGUCUUUAGUGAGGUGGAGUCUGGAUGCUGAGUCUGGGUCUUUAGUGAGGUGGAGUCUGGAUGCUGAGUCUGGGUCUUUAGUGAGGUGGAGUCUGGAUGCUGAGUCUGGGUCUUUAGAGAGGUUGAGUCUGGAUGCUGAGUCUGGGUCUUUAGUGAGGUGGAGUCUGGAUGCUGAGUCUGGGUCUUUAGAGAGGUGGAGUCUGGAUGCUGAGUCUGGGUCUUUAGUGAGGUGGAAUCUGGAUGCUGAGUCUGGGUCUUUAGUGAGGUGGAGUCUGGAUGCUGAGUCUGGGUCUUUAGAGAGGUGGAGUCUGGAUGCUGAGUCUGGGUCUUUAGAGAGGUGGAGUCUGGAUGCUGAGAACUGGGUCUUUAGUGAGGUGGAGUCUGGAUGCUGAGUCUGGGUCUUUUUGUAACUCCUUGAGUAGAUGUUGUUCAGUUCGCCUUGUUGAGGCUGGAGUUAGAGAGGUGGAGUCUGGAUGCUGAGUCUGGGUCUUUAGUGAGGUGGAGUCUGGAUGCUGAGUCUAGGGUCGAUGUUGUUCAAUUCUGUGGACUCAGAUGUGCAGAUUAAAAAGUUCUGGGUUGCAGUUCGGGUACAGAUUCUCCAGCUGUUUUUCUCCCAGUUCCCUCUAGAACCCUCCACAUCUUAAAACGUAACUUUAUUAUUAUAUAGUUUAAA